rnacentral:rRNA from 1 species
CAGAGGGUGCGAGCGUUGUCCGGAAUCACUGGGCGUAAAGGGCGCGUAGGCGGCUUCUCACGCGUGCGGUGAAAGCUCGGGGCUUAACUCCGAGUCUGCCGUGCGAACGGGGAGGCUUGAGCCUGGUAGAGGUCGAUGGAAUUCCGGGUGUAGCGGUGGAAUGCGUAGAGAUCCGGAAGAACACCGGUGGCGAAGGCGGUCGACUGGGCCAGUACUGACGCUGAGGCGCGACAGCGUGGGGAGCAAACAGGAUUAGAUACCCUGGUAGUCCACGCCGUAAACGAUGGGCACUAGGUCCUUGGGGGAGCGACCCCUUGAGGGCCGGCGCUAACGCAUUAAGUGCCCCGCCUGGGGAGUACGGCCGCAAGGCUG